CAAGUUCCCGAAGAAUCAAGAAAGCUCUCUUCAUUCUUCGUUCUUCGUCCAUCGCUCUUUCAAGAUCAAGCCCCGACGGCCCUUGAAGAAAGCACCAUCGUUCAUCAUCCGUUCAUCCAAGAUCAAGCCCCAACAGCCCUUUGGAUCAACAAUCAUCCACCUUCAAGAUCAAGCCCCGACGGCCCUUAGAGAAAGUGUUCUUCGUUCAUCGUUCUUCCAAGAUCAAGCCCCAACGGCCCUUUGGAUCAACAAACGUCGACA
rnacentral:lncRNA from 1 species